rnacentral:rRNA from 1 species
AUUGAACGCUGGCGGCAGGCUUAACACAUGCAAGUCGAACGAGUGGCGGACGGGUGAGUAAUGCUUGGGAAUCUCGCUUAUGGAGGGGGAUAACUACGGGAAACUGUAGCCAAUACCGCGUACUAUAGGAUGUGCACAAGUGGGAUUAGGUAGUGGGUGGGGUAAAGGCUCACCAAGCCGACGAUCUCUAGCUGGUCUGAGAGGAUGACCAGCCACACUGGGACUGCGACACGGCCCAGACUCCUACGGGAGGCAGCAGUGGGGAAUAUGGCGCAAUGGGGGCAACCUGACGCAGCCAGGCCGCGUGAAUGAAGAAGGCCUUCGGGUUGUAAAGUUCUUUCGGUAGCGAGGCGUUAACUACAGAAGAAGCACCGGCUAACUCCGUGCCAGCCGCCGCGGUAAUAC